rnacentral:rRNA from 1 species
AUGAUGAGAUAUGUGUCAGGAAACGAUGUUCAUAGGGACAAUUCCUCACUGCAUCGACUUGAGAGUCGUCAAUUCACGUACGAGGAGCUCAAGAUGAUAACAAACAACUUCCAACGAGUACUUGGCCAGGGAGGGUUCGGGUACGUCUAUGAUGGUUUUCAAGAGGAUGGCACCCAUGUGGCGGUGAAGUUACAGUCUCAUUCUUCCAGUCAAGGUGUCAAGGAGUUCCUUGCAGAGGCUCAUAUUUUGACACGAAUUCAUCAUAAAAAUCUUGUAACCAUGAUUGGUUACUGCAAAGAUGGGAAAUACAUGGCACUCAUCUACGAGUACAUGUCAGAAGGAACCCUACAUGAGCAUAUUGAAGGAAGUAAACGCGAUGGAGGAUGUUUAUCAUGGAGUCAAAGACUCCGGAUUGCACUUGAAUCUGCACAAGGGUUGGAGUAUCUACACAAGGGGUGCAACCCGCCUAUAAUUCAUAGGGAUAUAAAGGCCACCAACAUCCUCUUGAAUGUGAGGCUAGAGGCUAAGAUUGCGGACUUCGGCUUGUCCAAGGCCUUCAAUGGUGGCGAUGAUUACGCAUCCACAAUGACACUCGUUGGCACACCCGGGUACGUCGACCCCGAGUACCUGGCGACGAUGCAGCCAACAACUAAAAGCGAUGUGUAUAACUUCGGUGUCGUGCUGCUGGAACUGGUCACAGGGAAGACUGCCAUACUGCAGGAGGCGACACCCAUCAGCAUCAUUCAUUGGACACGAAAACGGAUGGCACGGGGCCAUAUUGAAAGUGUGGUUGAUGCGUGUAUGUGUGGCAUUUAUGAUGUUAACAGUGUGUGGAAAAUGGUGGAAAUGGCACUCAAGUGCACUGCAUAUGUGUCACCGCAACGACCCACCAUGACCGGUGUGGUGGCUCAGUUGCAAGAGUGCAUGGAGCUCGAGGAAGGCAGCAUAUAUAGUUGA